rnacentral:lncRNA from 1 species
AUAUUAUAGGCAUAAUCACAAGCAUUUAGAAAAGUUUGUAAGAAUAUUUGAUCGCCUUCAAAUUCGGGUACGAUCGAAAAUAUUUCGGAUAGUUUAUAAGGUUCUACUUCGGGUUCAUUCUCGAUAUGAGAUACGGGGACUGCGGGACGAGAAGUAUUACUGUUGUCAGUCAUGAUGAUCAAAUAAAUUUAAAUAAAAUAGGUAAUCAAUAUAUCAAAAAUAAAAAAUGGUCAAA